AUACGUAGGGGGCGAGCGUUGUCCGGAAUUACUGGGUGUAAAGGGAGCGUAGGCGGGAGUGCAAGUCAGAUGUGAAAUACAUGGGCUCAACCCAUGGGCUGCAUUUGAAACUGCAUUUCUUGAGUGAAGUAGAGGUAAGCGGAAUUCCUGGUGUAGCGGUGAAAUGCGUAGAUAUCAGGAGGAACACCGGUGGCGAAGGCGGCUUACUGGGCUUUUACUGACGCUUAGGCUCGAAAGCGUGGGGAGCAAACAGGAUUAGAUAGCCUGGUAGUCCACCCUGUAAACAAUGAUUACUAGGAGUAGGGUGACUGACCCCAUACGUGCCGCAAUUAACACAAUAAUUAAUCCGCCUGGCGAGUACGCCCGCAAGGUUGAAGCUGAAAUAAAUUGACGGGG
rnacentral:rRNA from 1 species